GAUGAAGAACGUAGCAAAAUGCGAUAAGUAAUGUGAAUUGCAGAAUUCAGUGAAUCAUCGAAUCUUUGAACGCACAUUGCGCCCGCUGGUAUUCCGGCGGGCAUGCCUGUUCGAGCGUCAUUUCAACCCUCAAGCCCCCGGGUUUGGUGUUGGGGAUCGGCUCUGCCCUUCUGGGCGGUGCCGCCCCCGAAAUACAUUGGCGGUCUCGCUGCAGCCUCCAUUGCGUAGUAGCUAACACCUCGCAACUGGAACGCGGCGCGGCCAUGCCGUAACACCCCAACUUCUGAAUGUUGACCUCGGAUCAGGUAGGAAUACCCGCUGAACUUAAGCAUAUCAAUAAGCGGAGGA
rnacentral:misc_RNA from 1 species